rnacentral:rRNA from 1 species
UACGGAGGAUCCAAGCGUUAUCCGGAUUUAUUGGGUUUAAAGGGUGCGUAGGCGGCCUAUUAAGUCAGGGGUGAAAGACGGUAGCUUAACUAUCGCAGUGCCCUUGAUACUGAUGGGCUUGAAUGUACUAGAAGUAGGCGGAAUGUGACAAGUAGCGGUGAAAUGCAUAGAUAUGUCACAGAACACCGAUUGCGAAGGCAGCUUACUAUGGUAUUAUUGACGCUGAGGCACGAAAGCGUGGGGAUCAAACAGG